UUUUAGCAUCUUUUGGUUAUUUUUUCCAUGAGCGAUCAACUGAUUGUCUCAUUUUCUUACCCAUGCAAGUCUUUUUGUUCUGCAACGUCUGCCACUCUUUCUCAUUUGCAACACUAGGGUUACAAGAGUGCAAAAAUAUGGUUCGGUGGUUUCAUUUAUGGAUUUAAAAAUUUUAAUGUUGAAAAAAAAUCUAAUUUUAGUGAAGGUUAUGGAGAUUUCUUGUUUCAGUGUGACAUUGAUUAUGAAUAAGGGUUUCCAAGGUGCACAACAAGAACAACAGUGGGUUCCACCACUGCCAUUAGACCACUAUCGUCAAGUAUUGAAUCACCAGCACCUUUUGUUUCCUCCUCCACAAUGACCUAUGCUGCCCCAUCAGGUUAUUCACAUGUAUGCUCAACCAGAUCAGAAUUUAAGGAUGACCUCAAGCUCUAUGUACACCCUAAUUUGAAAUAUAUUGGAAUUGAGUUACGACAGGUCAAAUCAGGAACCUUUUUUGAUAAUAUUUUAGUGUCUGAUGACCUUGAAUCUGCAAAGAAGUUAGCAGAGGAGAUAUAGGGCAAAAACAUAGAUGUGCGCCGAUCUUGUUGUUUUGAAAACCUAUCUUGUAGAUGUUUUAGUUGAUUGUAGAGCUGGUCAUUGUAGAUAUUUUAGCUGAGUGUAGAGUUGGUCAUUGGUCAUUGAAAUCCUCUUUUGCAAAUAUUUUAGAUAGUGAUGUGAUGUCCUUAAACAUCGAUUCUUUGUCAUCAAAUAGUUGAUUUUGUAUUUUGUAGAAAUGUAUAUUUAUAGGCUAACAUAGGAUACAUGGUAUAAUUAUUCUUUAAAGGGUGCU